rnacentral:rRNA from 1 species
UACAGAGGGUGCGAGCGUUGUCCGGAAUCACUGGGCGAAAGGGCGCGUAGGUGGCGACCCAAGUCGAUGGUGAAAGCUCGCCGCUCAACGGCGAGUCGGCCACCCGAUACUGGGGUUGCUCGAGCACUGUAGAGGCUAAUGGAAUUCCGGGUGUAGCGGUGGAAUGCGUAGAGAUCCGGAAGAACACCGGUGGCGAAGGCGGUUAGCUGGGCAGUUGCUGAC